UAGCGAGGAAAGAAACUUACAAGGAUUCCCCUAGUAACGGCGAGUGAAGAGGGAUUAGCCCAGCACCGAAUCCUCUGGUAUUUUAUCAGUAGGAGCUGUGGUGUUUGGGGGGCUUUAUGUCCUUGUAGCUGUUCGGCGUAAGUUCUCUUGAUCGGGACUUUACCCAUAGAGGGUGUUAGGCCCGUCUGUGUCGAAUAGCUGCAGGCUUGAGGUCUCCUUGGAGUCGGGCUGUUUGAGAUUGCAGCUCAAAGUGGGUGGUAAGCUCCAUCUAAGGCUAAAUACUUGUAUGAGUCCGAUAGCAGACAAGUACCGUGAGGGAAAGUUGAAAAGAACUUUGAAGAGAGAGUUCAAUAGUACGUGAAACCGUUUAGAGGUAAACGAACGGGACCGCAAACGCCUCUCUGUCUUAUUCAAUCUGACUAUAUUGGAUGCGUUGCCGUGUUGUAGAUGUAGUUAUUGCACUACCCGGCGGCGUUUAUUUCGGUAUAGUCGGCUGCUCGUAUGACAGUUUGAGGGCACCACAACCGGUUUGCUAACACAAAUCUAAGGUUGGCUUACGGUUUGUCGUAAGGUAGACUAAACGGCGACUAUUUAUAGUUGUUGUUUGGUAACUUAUAGACGACAUUCUCUGACGCACAACCGGCAGACCGAGGACGAACUCGUAAGCAGCAUCCACCACUAUGGCGUCGGCUCUUGGCAGUUGUUGUGCAUUUCUAAUUAUAUGGACUACUUGUAGUGCAUGUUGACCGUUUGUGCUCGGCUGUCUGAGAUGUUCCCGGCGUUCGAUGCUCAAGGUUAGUGGUGAAUUGUCGGCAUCCUGUUCGACCCGUCUUGAAACACGGACCAAGGAGUGCAGCAUGUGUGCGAGUCGUAGGGUUCUCAUCGAGACCCGAAGGCGAAAUGAAAGUAAAGGACGUUCUUAGGUUCGUCUUAGGUGUGAUCCGAAACCAAUCGUCAAUGUUGGCUCGGCGCAACACCGGCCCGUCUUAAAUCCUUGUUGAUUGAGGCGGCGCAAGAGCACAUACGCUGCGACCCGAAAGAUGGUGAACUAUGCCUGAGUAGGACGAAGCCAGAGGAAACUCUGGUGGAAGUC
rnacentral:rRNA from 1 species